AUUGAACGCUGGCGGCAUGCCUUACACAUGCAAGUCGAACGGCAGCACGGGUGCUUGCACCUGGUGGCGAGUGGCGAACGGGUGAGUAAUACAUCGGAACAUGUCCUGUAGUGGGGGAUAGCCCGGCGAAAGCCGGAUUAAUACCGCAUACGAUCUACGGAUGAAAGCGGGGGACCUUCGGGCCUCGCGCUAUAGGGUUGGCCGAUGGCUGAUUAGCUAGUUGGUGGGGUAAAGGCUUACCAAGGCGACGAUCAGUAGCUGGUCUGAGAGGACGACCAGCCACACUGGGACUGAGACACGGCCCAGACUCCUACGGGAGGCAGCAGUGGGGAAUUUUGGACAAUGGGCGAAAGCCUGAUCCAGCAAUGCCGCGUGUGUGAAGAAGGCCUUCGGGUUGUAAAGCACUUUUGUCCGGAAAGAAAUCCUUGGCCCUAAUACGGUCGGGGGAUGACGGUACCGGAAGAAUAAGCACCGGCUAACUACGUG
rnacentral:rRNA from 1 species